rnacentral:lncRNA from 1 species
GGAUGCCCCACGGCUGCGGAGUCACCUUGACAGCUUUUUUUCUCCCGGGAAUUGCAGAAUGUGCCUGCGCCGGGCUUCAGACUUUCCAAAGAGACCCGCAAUGCAGUGGAAUAUGCGACCGGAAGGCCAGCCUGCCUCUGCAGCCCUCCUCAUGCAUUCCUAAAAAAACUUAGAGGCCGCGGUUCUUCCGAAGGCCCCUUGGGGCUCUAUGCUCGUCAGACCAUUUGAUUUACAAUGGGUGGGAGAAGAAAGCAAGAGUCGACACCCCGCCCCGCUGCUCGUUCUGAAAAGGAGAUCCCCUCUCCCUUUGAUUUAGAAGCGCUUUCAAGUCCCUAGGUGGUUGCUUCUGGUGCCUUGCUCUCAGGAUUGUGGCCUGGCGCCAACUUUUGACCUGCCCUAGUUGAAGAUGCAGACGCACCAACCACCAGAGUUAGAACCAUUGGGCGUCUGCUGCCUAGGGAAGUGGACUUGCCCGAGGGUAUCACUUCCUACUUAAACCAAUCACCCUCUCAGGCAUUGGUAUGCAGGUGAAAAGCUAGAAAAUCAAGGAAACCUCCAAGACUUGCCCGUGGCCAUGAAGGAUGGAACGUUUAAGCCAGUGAGAGUAGAGUGUGCUAUUCUGAAUAGGGAGGCGUGGGCAUAAAUUCCCUUUUGGAUAUUUAUUACUUUCAGGUGACUACCUUGAAAUGUUCCCAAAUCUUGAUAGCAGCCCCACCAAAUACUCUUAUGAACUGAGCCAGAAAUCAGGGACUUACCCUCAGACCCUGCCUUUACCUGUUGGUGACAUCAUAAUUAAUCUCAGAUUUCAGCAUGACUUUAAACAUUUCAUGACUGACCCCUGGUGGACAUGUCGUUCUUACCCCCAUUUACUCAUGCAUUCCCUUCAUUUCAAAUAGCUUGCUGAUUUUAAAACUCAGCUUGCUAAUCCAUGCCUUCAUGCCGUGGCAGAGCUGUUCCCUCUGCCUUAAAUGCCAUCCACAGUUCACGUGGUGAAUUGGUCAGUUCUAAGCCUGCCCCUAAACCCUACACCCACACAAACCCCAAGGAUCUUCGGAUUCACUGGUCAUUAUUCAUUCCACACGUAUUUAGGAAGUCCAUACUCCGAGCCAGGCCUUCCCUUUUGCAUUACCUAGGCUGAAAUUCCACCAUGCUAUGUUGGUUUGCUGGCCAUCCUUACUAGCCAGUGUGAAUCACUAGUGCCAAGCCCUGUGUCUCCAUAGAGUAACAGGAGAAAAGCAGACACAGGGCAGAGAAUCCCGAAAACCUAGUGUGUAGGUAGCUAUUUCCUCCGAAUUGAAACAACGUUCCCUCCUGGGAGGGAGUGGGAGGCCUUUGAGACUCAAGAACCUAAGGAAGCAUAAAAGACUCUGAGCGCAGAGAGCUGAUUCACAGAGCCCUCCCCAGGCUUAUGUAAGCAGUGCACAGUUGCGAGGGGAGAGGAGGUUCUUCUCUCUGGGGUUGUCACCAAUGCUGGGGGGAACUGCCUGCAUCACCUAGGCUCCUUUAAUCCUACUAAACUCCUUGGUUUACCACAGUGAGCAUGGACUAGUUUAUUUUAGUUCAGCAGUUCUCAACCUGUGGGUUACAACCCCUUUGGGGUUGAAUAAUCCUUUCACAGGGGUUGCCUAAGACCAUCAGAACAUCAUGAUUCACAACAGUAACACAUUUACGGUUAUGAAGUAGU